rnacentral:rRNA from 1 species
CCUACGGGAGGCAGCAGUGAGGAAUAUUGGUCAAUGGACGAGAGUCUGAACCAGCCAAGUAGCGUGAAGGAUGACUGCGCUAUGGGUUGUAAACUUCUUUUAUAUGGGAAUAAAAUGUUCCACGUGUGGGUUUUUGUAUGUACCAUAUGAAUAAGGAUCGGCUAACUCCGUGCCAGCAGCCGCGGUAAUACGGAGGAUCCGAGCGUUAUCCGGAUUUAUUGGGUUUAAAGGGAGCGUAGGUGGAUUGUUAAGUCAGUUGUGAAAGUUUGCGGCUCAACCGUAAAAUUGCAGUUGAAACUGGCAGUCUUGAGUACAGUAGAGGUGUGCGGAAUUCGUGGUGUAGCGGUGAAAUGCUUAGAUAUCACGAAGAACUCCGAUUGCGAAGGCAGCUCACUGGACUGCAACUGACACUGAGGCUCGAAAGUGUGGGUAUCAAACAGGAUUAGAUACCCCAGUAGUC